rnacentral:misc_RNA from 1 species
UCGCGGCUUAUCACCGGCAGUCCCCUUAGAGUGCCCAACUGAAUGAUGGCAACUAAGGGCGAGGGUUGCGCUCGUUGCGGGACUUAACCCAACAUCUCACGACACGAGCUGACGACGGCCAUGCAGCACCUGUGUUCUAGCUCUCUUUCGAGCACUCCCACAUCUCUGCGGACUUCUGGAGGGUUCCAACCCAGGUAAGGUUCUUCGCGUUGCGUCGAAUUAAACCACAUGCUCCACCGCUUGUGCGGGCCUCCGUCAAUUCCUUUGAGUUUUAGCCUUGCGGCCGUACUCCCCAGGCGGGGUGCUUAAUGCGUUAGCUGCGGCACGGGGGGAGUCGACACCCCCCACACCUAGCACCCAUCGUUUACGGCGUGGACUAC